rnacentral:ncRNA from 1 species
CUUAUCAAGAAAGAUGGAGGGAUGGGCCCUGUGAAAUCUUGGCAACCUAGCUUAACGGUGCCAAAUCCCCCCGCAACAACUGUUGUUGAAAGAUAAGA